GACGAACGUUGGCGGCGUGCUUAACACAUGCAAGUCGAACGGAAAGGCCCUGCUUUUGUGGGGUGCUCGAGUGGCGAACGGGUGAGUAACACGUGAGUAACCUGCCCUUGACUUUGGGAUAACUUCAGGAAACUGGGGCUAAUACCGGAUAGGAGCUCCUGCUGCAUGGUGGGGGUUGGAAAGUUUCGGCGGUUGGGGAUGGACUCGCGGCUUAUCAGCUUGUUGGUGGGGUAGUGGCUUACCAAGGCUUUGACGGGUAGCCGGCCUGAGAGGGUGACCGGCCACAUUGGGACUGAGAUACGGCCCAGACUCCUACGGGAGGCAGCAGUGGGGAAUAUUGCACAAUGGGCGGAAGCCUGAUGCAGCAACGCCGCGUGCGGGAUGACGGCCUUCGGGUUGUAAACCGCUUUCGCCUGUGACAAAGCGUGAGUGACGGUAAUGGGUAAAGAAGCACCGGCUAACUACGUGCCAGCAGCCGCGGUGAUACGUAGGGUGCGAGCGUUGUCCGGAUUUAUUGGGCGUAAAGGGCUCGUAGGUGGUUGAUCGCGUCGGAAGUGUAAUCUUGGGGCUUAACCCUGAGCGUGCUUUCGAUACGGGUUGACUUGAGGAAGGUAGGGGAGAAUGGAAUUCCUGGUGGAGCGGUGGAAUGCGCAGAUAUCAGGAGGAACACCAGUGGCGAAGGCGGUUCUCUGGGCCUUUCCUGACGCUGAGGAGCGAAAGCGUGGGGAGCGAACAGGCUUAGAUACCCUGGUAGUCCACGCUGUAAACGGUGGAUACUAGGUGUGGGGUCCAUUCCACGGGUUCCGUGCCGUAGCUAACGCUUUAAGUACCCCGCCUGGGAAGUACGGCCGCAAGGCUAAAACUCAAAGGAAUUGACGGGGCCCCGCACAAGCGGCGGAGCAUGCGGAUUAAUUCGAUGCAACGCGUAGAACCUUACCUGGGUUUGACAUGGAUCGGGAGUGCUCAGAGAUGGGUGUGCCUCUUUUGGGGUCGGUUCACAGGUGGUGCAUGGCUGUCGUCAGCUCGUGUCGUGAGAUGUUGGGUUAAGUCCCGCAACGAGCGCAACCCUUGUUCACUGUUGCCAGCACGUUAUGGUGGGGACUCAGUGGAGACCGCCGGGGUCAACUCGGAGGAAGGUGGGGAUGACGUCAAGUCAUCAUGCCCCUUAUGUCCAGGGCUUCACGCAUGCUACAAUGGCUGGUACAGAGAGUGGCGAGCCUGUGAGGGUGAGCGAAUCUCGGAAAGCCGGUCUCAGUUCGGAUUGGGGUCUGCAACUCGACCUCAUGAAGUCGGAGUCGCUAGUAAUCGCAGAUCAGCAACGCUGCGGUGAAUACGUUCCCGGG
rnacentral:rRNA from 1 species